AGCGAACGCUGGCGGCAGGCUUAACACAUGCAAGUCGAACGCUCGUCUUCGGACGGGAGUGGCAGACGGGUGAGUAACACGUGGGAACGUACCCUUUGGUUCGGAAUAACGCAGGGAAACUUGCGCUAAUACCGGAUACGCCCUUUUGGGGAAAGGUUUACUGCCGAAGGAUCGGCCCGCGUCUGAUUAGCUAGUUGGUGGGGUAACGGCCUACCAAGGCGACGAUCAGUAGCUGGUCUGAGAGGAUGAUCAGCCACACUGGGACUGAGACACGGCCCAGACUCCUACGGGAGGCAGCAGUGGGGAAUAUUGGACAAUGGGCGCAAGCCUGAUCCAGCCAUGCCGCGUGAGUGAUGAAGGCCUUAGGGUUGUAAAGCUCUUUUGUCCGGGACGAUAAUGACGGUACCGGAAGAAUAAGCCCCGGCUAACUUCGUGCCAGCAGCCGCGGUAAUACGAAGGGGGCUAGCGUUGCU
rnacentral:rRNA from 1 species